rnacentral:rRNA from 1 species
CAGCCAUACAUUCAAAGAGUGCGUAACAGCUCACUAGUCGAGAGUUCCUGCGCCGAAAAUGUCCGGGGCUGAAACACGACACCGAAGCCGUGGACUCGCAAUGCGAGUGGUAGAGGAGCAUUCUUAAGACCGACGAAGCUGUACCGGAAGGAGCAGUGGAGGGAUAAGAAGAGAGAAUGCCGGAAUGAGUAGCGAGAGAAAGGUGGGAAUCCUUUCGGCUGAAUAUCUAAGGUUUCCAGAGUAAAGCUGAUCUGCUCUGGGUAAGUCGGGGCCUAAGCACAGGUCGCAAGACGUAAGCGAUGGAUAACAGGUUUAGAUUCCUGUACCACGCAUUAUCAGAACUGUAGGGACGCAUGUGGAAAGCACGAGCCGGGAAUGGAAAGACCGGUACAAGCGAGGUAGGUGUACAAUAGGCAAAUCCGUUGUAUGAUCCGAAGACGUGAUGUGGAGCGAAAUAAAGUAGCAAAGCGUGUGAGCCAUGUGCCGAGAAAAGCUGCUAUUGUGUAAUGCGUGCCCGUACCGUAAACCGACACAGGUGGAUGAGGAGAGAAUCCUAAGGCCGACGGAAGAAGCAUUGUUAAGGAAUUCGGCAAAAUGACCCCGUAACUUCGGGAGAAGGGGUGCCUGCGAGAGCAGGCCGCAGAGAAUAGGCUCAAGCAACUGUUUAGCAAAAACACAGGUCUAUGCGAAACCGAAAGGUGAAGUAUAUGGGCUGACGCCUGCCCGGUGCUGGAAGGUUAAGAGGAGAGGUUAGCGUAAGCGAAGCUUUGAAUUUAAGCCCCAGUAAACGGCGGCCGUAACUAUAACGGUCCUAAGGUAGCGAAAUUCCUUGUCGGGUAAGUUCCGACCCGCACGAAAGGCGUAAUGAUUUGAGCACUGUCUCGACAAUGCAUCCGGUGAAAUUGAAGUACCAGUGAAGAUGCUGGUUACCCGCGCCAGGACGGAAAGACCCCAUGGAGCUUUACUCCAGUUUGAUACUGGGAUUCGGUACUGCAUGUACAGGAUAGGUGGGAGACGAAGAAGGAUGGACGCCAGUCUGUCCGGAGUCGCUGUUGGGAUACCACCCCUGUAGUACUGGGUUUCUAACCAGUUACCAUGAUCUGGUAAUGGGACAAUGUCAGGCGGGGAGUUUGACUGGGGCGGUCGCCUCCGAAAGGGUAUCGGAGGCGCUCAAAGGUUCCCUCAGAAUGGUUGGAAACCAUUUGAAGAGUGCAAAGGCAGAAGGGAGCUUGACUGCGACACCGACGGGUGGAGCAGGUACGAAAGUAGGACUUAGUGAUCCGGUGGUAUAAAGUGGGAUUGCCAUCGCUCAACGGAUAAAAGCUACCCUGGGGAUAACAGGCUUAUCACUCCCAAGAGUUCACAUCGACGGAGUGGUUUGGCACCUCGAUGUCGGCUCAUCGCAUCCUGGGGCUGUAGCAGGUCCCAAGGGUUGGGCUGUUCGCCCAUUAAAGCGGUACGCGAGCUGGGUUCAGAACGUCGUGAGACAGUUCGGUCCCUAUCCGGCGCGGGCGGAGGAUAUUUGAGAGGAGCUGUCCUUAGUACGAGAGGACCGGGAUGGACGGACCACUGGUGUAUCUGUUGUCGACCAACGGCAUGGCAGAGUAGCCAAGUCUGGAAGGGAUAAACGCUGAAGGCAUCUAAGCGUGAAGCCCCCCUCAAGAUGAGAUAUCCCUCCUUCGGGAGUAAGACCCCUUGAAGACUACAAGGUAGAUAGGGCAGAGGUGGAAGCAUGGCAACAUGUGGAGCUGACUGUUACUAAUAGGUCGAGGGCUUAAUCU